UCCAGAGGUCUCAAGCGUUGUUCGGAUUCAUUGGGCGUAAAGGGUGCGUAGGCGGCGCGGUAAGUCGGGUGUGAAAUCUCGGGGCUUAACUCCGAAACUGCAUUCGAUACUGCCGUGCUUGAGGACUGGAGAGGAGACUGGAAUUUACGGUGUAGCGGUGAAAUGCGUAGAUAUCGUAAGGAAGACCAGUGGCGAAGGCGGGUCUCUGGACAGUUCCUGACGCUGAGGCACGAAGGUCAGGGGAGCAAACGGG
rnacentral:rRNA from 1 species